UACGAAGGGGGCGAGCGUUGUUCGGAAUCACUGGGCGUAAAGGGCGCGUAGGCGGCGGACCAAGUCGAGUGUGAAAGCCCCGGGCUCAACCUGGGAGGUGCGCUCGCGACUGGUUUGCUGGAGUUCGGGAGAGGAGCGUGGAAUUCCCAGUGUAGAGGUGAAAUUCGUAGAUAUUGGGAAGAACACCGGUGGCGAAGGCGGCGCUCUGGACCGAGACUGACGCUGAGGCGCGAAAGCGUGGGGAGCAAACA
rnacentral:rRNA from 1 species